rnacentral:rRNA from 1 species
UACGGGGGGGGCAAGCGUUGUUCGGAAUUACUGGGCGUAAAGCGUGCGCAGGCGGUGAGCUGUGUCCGAUGUGAAAGCCCCGGGCUUAACCUGGGAGUGGCAUUGGAAACUGGCUCGCUGGAGUGUGGCAGAGGGGGGUGGAAUUCCGCGUGUAGCAGUGAAAUGCGUAGAGAUGCGGAGGAACACCGAUGGCGAAGGCAGCCCCCUGGGCUAACACUGACGCUCAGGCACGAAAGCGUGGGGAGCAAACAGG